UUCGGGGGUACUCGAGUGGCGAACGGGUGAGUAACACGUGAGCAAUCUGCCGUGCACUUCGGGAUAAGCCUGGAAAACUGGGUCUAAGACCGGAUAGGACCUUUAGGCGCAUGUCUUUAGGUGGAAAGCUUUUGCGGUGUGGGAUGGGCCCGCGGCCUAUCAGCUUGUUGUUGGGGUGAUGGCCUACCAAGGCGACGACGGGGAGCCGGCCUGAGAGGGUGUGCGGGCACACUGGGACUGAGAUACGGCCCAGACUCCUACGGGAGGCAGCAGUGGGGAAUAUUGCACAAUGGGCGCAAGCCUGAUGCAGCGACGCCGCGUGGGGGAUGACGGCCUUCGGGUUGUAAACCUCUUUCACCAUCGACGAAGGUUCGGGUUUUCUCGGAUUGACGGUGAGGGGUGGAGAAGCACCGGCCAACUACGUGCCAGCAGCCGCGGUAAUACGUAGGGUGCGAGCGUUGUCCGGAAUUACUGGGCGUAAAGAGCUCGUAGGUGGUUUGUCGCGUUGUUCGUGAAAUCUCACGGCUUAACUGUGAGCGUGCGGGCGAUACGGGCAGACUAGAGUACUGCAGGGGAGACUGGAAUUCCUGGUGUAGCGGUGGAAUGCGCAGAUAUCAGGAGGAACACCGGUGGCGAAGGCGGGUCUCUGGGCAGUAACUGACGCUGAGGAGCGAAAGCGUGGGGAGCGAACAGGAUUAGAUACCCUGGUAGUCCACGCCGUAAACGGUGGGUACUAGGUGUGGGUUUCCUUCCUUGGGAUCCGUGCCGUAGCUAACGCAUUAAGUACCCCGCCUGGGGAGUACGGCCGCAAGGCUAAAACUCAAAGGAAUUGACGGGGGCCCGCACAAGCGGCGGAGCAUGUGGAUUAAUUCGAUGCAACGCGAAGAACCUUACCUGGGUUUGACAUGCACAGGACGCGUCUAGAGAUAGGCGUUCCCUUGUGGCCUGUGUGCAGGUGGUGCAUGGCUGUCGUCAGCUCGUGUCGUGAGAUGUUGGGUUAAGUCCCGCAACGAGCGCAACCCUUGUCUCAUGUUGCCAGCGGGUAAUGCCGGGGACUCGUGAGAGACUGCCGGGGUCAACUCGGAGGAAGGUGGGGAUGACGUCAAGUCAUCAUGCCCCUUAUGUCCAGGGCUUCACACAUGCUACAAUGGCCGGUACAAAGGGCUGCGAUGCCGCAAGGUUAAGCGAAUCCUUUUAAAGCCGGUCUCAGUUCGGAUUGGGGUCUGCAACUCGACCCCAUGAAGUCGGAGUCGCUAGUAAUCGCAGAUCAGCAACGCUGCGGUGAAUACG
rnacentral:rRNA from 1 species